UGGGGAAUAUUGCACAAUGGGCGCAAGCCUGAUGCAGCCAUGCCGCGUGUGUGAAGAAGGCCUUCGGGUUGUAAAGCACUUUCAGCGGGGAGGAAGGCGAUAAGGUUAAUAACCUUGUCGAUUGACGUUACCCGCAGAAGAAGCACCGGCUAGCUCCGUGCCAGCAGCCGCGGUAAUACGGAGGGUGCAAGCGUUAAUCGGAAUUACUGGGCGUAAAGCGCACGCAGGCGGUCUGUCAAGUCGGAUGUGAAAUCCCCGGGCUUAACCUGGGAACUGCAUUCGAAACUGGCAGGCUAGAGUCUUGUAGAGGGGGGUAGAAUUCCAGGUGUAGCGGUGAAAUGCGUAGAGAUCUGGAGGAAUACCGGUGGCGAAGGCGGCCCCCUGGACAAAGACUGACGCUCAGGUGCGAAAGCGUGGGGAGCAAACAGG
rnacentral:rRNA from 1 species